UUUUUUUCAAAUCUCAGUUUUAUUCCCAUUCCAGCCUCCUAAUACUUUCCCUUUGGAUUUUUUUUUUUAAUCUUGAGAAGUCUGUGUCUUUUAGUGUAGUAAUAACAAUAAUAGUAUUUUUAGCAUACCCAUUAUGCCAAGGGCUUUUAAAAGAUACUUUUUAUAAACCAACUCAUUUAAUUCUCACAACUUUUGAAGUAGUCCAAUUUCUAAUCCUCAUUUUACAGAUAAGGAAACUGAGGCACACAAGGUUAGCUAACCUGCCCGAGGUCUCUGGAUAGUAACUGGAAGAGGUGUUCUCUGGAUAUUAUUUGAAUCUCAGUCUCCCUAUUUUUCUUCGUCAUGACUUUAACUUUCCUCCUGUAUUUCUAAAUAUUUUAAUCUCUUGGUCAUAUAGAAUACCUUGAUUUAUAAGUCACUUUUACAGCA
rnacentral:lncRNA from 1 species